GGAGGUGUAGCUCAGUGGUAGAGCACUUGCCUAGUUAGUAUACAAGGUCCUGGGUUUGAUUCCUAGCACCAUGG
rnacentral:tRNA from 1 species